rnacentral:rRNA from 1 species
UACAGAGGUCCCAAGCGUUGUUCGGAUUCACUGGGCGUAAAGGGUGCGUAGGUGGCAGGGUAAGUUUGAUGUGAAAUCUCCGGGCUUAACCCGGAAACUGCAUUGAAUACUAUCCUGCUCGAGGUUUGGAGGGGGGACUGGAAUUCUCGGUGUAGCAGUGAAAUGCGUAGAUAUCGAGAGGAACACCAGUGGCGAAGGCGAGUCCCUGGACGACUCCUGACACUGAGGCACGAAAGCUAGGGGAGCAAACAGG